rnacentral:rRNA from 1 species
GACGAACGCUGGCGGCGUGCCUAAUACAUGCAAGUCGAACGCAUUUUCUUUCACCGUAGCUUGCUACACCGAAAGAAAGUGAGUGGCGAACGGGUGAGUAACACGUAGGUAACCUGCCCAUCAGCGGGGGAUAACACUUGGAAACAGGUGCUAAUACCGCAUAAUUCCAUUUACCGCAUGGUAGAUGGAUGAAAGGCGCUUUUGCGUCACUGAUGGAUGCACCCGAGGUGCAUUAGCUAGUUGGUGGGGUAACGGCCUACCAAGGCUGCGAUGCAUAGCCGACCUGAGAGGGUGAUCGGCCAAGCUGGGACUGGGACACGGCCCAGACUCCUACGGGAGGCAGCAGUAGGGAAUCUUCGGCAAUGGACGCAAGGCUGACCGAGCAACGCCGCGUGAGUGAAGAAGGUUUUCGGAUUGUAAAACUCUGUUGUUAGAGAAGAACAAGGAUGAGAGUGGAAAGUUCAUCCCUUGACGGUAUCUAACCAGAAAGCCACGGCUAACUACGUG